AAUCACGAGAUUCGACUUACGCGGAAAUUCAAGUGAUGACAUCUGUAAAUCAAUAAUUGAUAGCAGAUGAAAAAUAUCUUGGCCACGGGGUAAAGUCUUUACACGUUCGUGUCAUGAUGCAAAACCAUCAAAAAGCAAUAUUUGUAAUGUUUUUUUUGUAGUUUUUUCAUCAGUUUUUUGCUCAUAUAAAACUUCCGAAAAUAUAAAGAAUGCAUAUUUAAAUAGCUUAAGAUCCAUAGUAGCCAAAUUAGAUCCACAAACGAGCGCAUGCUUAAAAAUUAGUUUGUACAAAUUUGAUAGCAAUCAUGCCAAAAAUGGUUCUCAAAUGUUUUGUCACACCUCCAGAUUGGAUACUAUAUUUUUGAAUAAUUCACUAAUAAAUUUUAUCCAGUUUUCAUGACAAGUGUCCAUUUGUCCCGUAAUGCCCGUGCUUACUUACCAUCCUCUACAAAACGAUUUUUGAAAACGUAUGAUAUAAUAAUUUGGAAUUGAAGUAUCGAUAAAACCGGCACACAUAGUGAACCGGGAAAACACCAAAAAAAUCCGGGAAAAACCGGGAAAAAACCGGGAAAUUAAAAUCCUGAUUCGUGUGGCCACCCUGCAAGUAGCAGAGCCGAAGUUGUUGAGAGAUUUUUCUGUGUGCCAAAGCGAGAGGCCCUGUCUUCUCUCUCUAGAUUUUGAACGGCAAACCGCCGCCCGUGUAGAGGUGUGUGCGUGUGACGAAAAAUGAUGGAGGAAAAAGGGGGAAGCGGGUGAAGUCUUUAGUUCGUCACACACACAUGCAUCUACCAGCGGAUUGCGCUGGACCGAGUCUACCCAUCUCUCUCGAUCAACCAUGAUUUUUCUGCUAUCGCUCUCAUCCGAGUGUGAGGCAUCCUCAGUGUGUCCAAAACUUUCCCUGUGGAAGGAUGCACUGAAGUGAGGUGCGAUUUCUUGUGCGACGUACUUUGCUCGUCUACGUUUUGGGCCGUGUUCCUUCUUCUUCAGUUAUGGAAUGCUUUAUCCUAGCAAAUUGUUGAGGUGUGUGCGUUAUUUAUCAAAGACUACAUGCUGGCCUCGUCAACAAUGUUCAAAGUGAGCGACGGAAAGAAAACGUUUUCCAGUUUUAAAAUAUUAAGAGCGGUAGGAGGAAGGAAGAACGAGAGGAGGAAGACCGGUAAAUUUGGAAGGGGGAAAGCGUUUUGCCGUCUACACAACGGGAGUAUGCCGAAACACCCCAAGUAGCAGAGCCGAUGUUGUUGAGAGGUUUUUCUGUGUGCCAAAGCGAGAGGCCCUGUCUUCUCUCUCUAGAUUUUGCACGGCAAACCGCCGCCCGUGUAGAGGUGUGUGCGUUUGACGAAAAUUUAUAGAUGAAAUACGGGGGAAGCGGGGUUUGAAGUCUUUCGUUCGUCACACACACAUGCAUUUACCAGCGGAUAUCGCUGCACCGAGUAUAGCCAUCUCUCUCGAUCCACCAUGAUUUUUCUGCUAUCGCGCUCAUCCGGGUGUUAGGCAUCCUCAGUCUGUCCAGA